rnacentral:rRNA from 1 species
UUCCUUCGGGAACCUAGUCACAGCGGCGAACUGGUGAGUACAAGACGAGUAACGUGCCCGGAUGUGGGGGAUAACCUAGAGAAAUCGAGGCUAAUACCGCAUGUCAUCAUCAUCUCGCGGGAUGAUGGGAAAAGGUGCCCGGGUUUACCCGGGUGUCGCAACCGGAUCGGCUCGUCUCCCAUUAGCUUGUUGGUGGGGUAACGGCCUACCAAGGCUACGAUGGGUAGCUGGCCUGAGAGGGUGGUCAGCCACACUGGGACUGAGAUACGGCCCAGACUCCUACGGGGGGCAGCAGUCUAGAGGCAUCCACAAUAGGGGAAACCCUGAUGGUGCGACGCCGCGUGUGGGAUGAAGGCCCUUGGGUUGUAAACCACUGUCAGGAGGGAAUAAGGCUCCGAUGCUCACGCUUCGGAGAUUGAAGGUACCUCCAGAGGAAGCACCGGCUAACUCCGUGCCAGCAGCCGCGGUAAUACGGAGGGUGCAAGCGUUGUUCGGAUUUAUUGGGCGUAAAGGGUGCGUAGGCGGGUUGGCAAGUCUCUUGGUUAAAUUUUCACCGCUCAACGGGAAAAACGCCGGAGAUACUGCCAGUCUUGAGAGCGGUAGGGGUGAGUGGAAUUCCUGGUGUAACGGUGGAAUGUUUAGAUAUCAGGAAGAACACCAGUGGCGAAGGCGACUCACUGGACCGCAUCUGACGCUGAGGCACGAAAGCUAGGGGAGCGAACAGGAUUAGAUACCCUGGUAGUCCUAGCCGUAAACGGUGAGCACUAGGUGUGGGGGGUUAUCGACCCUUCCGUGCCGUAGCAAACGCAUUAAGUG